UCAGCGACCGGUGUUCACAGGUUGGCAGCAUCUCAUUGGCUCCUUUUCCAAAUGUCGAUUUUUCAUGUGGAAUGGCAUUGAUUCUUAAAGUUGACUUUCCACGAUUCGGUCUUUUCUACUUCUGCAAAGGUUCCAUCGAAAGAAAAUGGGUUACAAAUCAGUUCUCUUAACCCUGUGCUUAUUAAGCGCAGUAGUAGUUCCUGCAUUAUCAGCUAAAAGACCAACCAAAAAAGAUGAGAAAGAAGAAGUAAAAGAUGAAGUUCAAUAUAUUGUCACCGAAGAAGUAUAUUUGGAUGUAGAGAUUGAAAAUUACUUUGGCCCUGACAACCAUUUUGGAGGUCGGAUUGUUAUUGGUAUCUUUGGUGAUCUUGUUCCCAUGACAGCUUUGAACUUCAUAACAUUAGCAAAAGGAUUCAAAAAGCGAGGUAUUUUAUACAAAUAUGGUGGAACAACAUUUCACAGGGCAGUAACAGAUUUCAUGAUCCAAGGUGGUGAUGUUACCCAUAACUAUGGCGAAGGCGGUAUGAGUUUAUACGGACCAAUGUUUGAUGAUGAAAACUUUCUUGUCAGCCAUCAAUCUGCUGGUAUUGUUUCUAUGGCUAACUAUGGACGAAACUCAAACGCAUCUCAGUUCUUUAUUUUGCUUCAAAAAUCAAGGUGGUUGAACGGACGACAUGUUGCUUUUGGAAAAGUCAUUAAGGGCAUGGAUGCCGUAAGAAAGAUUGGCAGUGUUAAAUCUUCAUUGAAAGGAACA